CGGAGGGGAGCAGACUGCAGCCGAUAACCGACAGAAGAGAUUUCCGCAACGUGUUAGACUUAUCAAAUUACAGGGCAGUAAAAAUUUAUUCUUAUUAGUGCCUAAGUUGAAAGUAAAUUUCUAGCUGCUCAAAAGCGGUUAGUCAAAGAUUACUAUACGAAGGAUUCAAUUCAUGCAUUUGUUUGCUCAUAUAUUUGUUAUACUUAAAACAUCCUGAUUGAAUUUGCGUUACGAAGUAGGAAACGUACAAACGAAAAUUUUAAUCGCAGUGUGCAAAAUACACGAUUUAAAAUUUCGGAAAAGUUGUUUCCUUGUUACAUUGGUAACAGUUGGAUAUAACGCAAUCGAAUUUUGCUCUGACAAUAAUUACUAUAUCGUCAGCAAAACCGAUCGAAAGACCCUUUCAGUCAGGUUUAUUAAAAGGUCGUGAACAACUAAUGACCAAA